GCCAGUGUAGCUCAGUGGUAGAGCAACUGAUUCGUAAUCAGUAGGUCGAGGGUUCGACUCCCUCUGCUGGCU
rnacentral:tRNA from 1 species